rnacentral:rRNA from 1 species
GGGGAAUCUUGCGCAAUGGUCGAAAGACUGACGCAGCGACGCCGCGUGUGGGAGGACGCCUUUCAGGGUGUAAACCACUGUUGCCCGGGACGAACACCUCUUUUCGAAGAGGCUGCCGGUACCGGGUGAGGAAGCACCGGCUAACUCCGUGCCAGCAGCCGCGGUAAUCCGGAGGGUGCGAGCGUUGUCCGGAAUCAUUGGGCGUAAAGGGCGCGUAGGUGGCCCGGUCAGUCCGUGGUGAAAGCGCGGGGCUCAACCCUGCGUCGGCCAUGGAUACUGCCGCGGCUGGAGCACUGUAGAGGCAGGCGGAAUUCCGGGUGUAGCGGUGGAAUGCGUAGAGAUCCGGAAGAACACCGGUGGCGAAGGCGGCCUGCUGGGCAGGAAGAGGGCGCAAGCCCUCGGCUGACGCUGAGGCGCGACAGCGUGGGGAGCAAAC